CUAGAAGUAUUCAAAGAACAUGUAAACUGGGAGAUAAAACUGCAGGGCAGGUAAAUGACACACAAAUUAUUUGGUCUUUAAAAAGCAAAGAUGAAUAGGAAGAUCUUGAUUCUGAGGCUGGGAGGAGUCCCUGGAAGGUUUUUGUGGAUGAAAUCAUAAGAGAGGAGGCCUAGGGCUAAGCACUUUUGGUUAUACAAGCA